UAGAGGCCCCGCUGAGGAGAGGUGUUCAUGCAGAAGUCCAGCAAAGUGAAGUCGCUGUACUGUUUUGUUUUUAUUUUAAACAGUUAUGGGAGAAUAAAUCCGCCCAGCUGGCAAAGUGAGAGCUGACUCCUCUGGUCAUUCAUACAACACAACGCAGAGAACUAACGGCAAUCAGAGUUUAAGGCCAGACCGGCUACAGUAGCACCUUUGCUCAGGUGUAAUUGGUUGCAAGUGUGGUGUAAACAAAAAAGUAUACCCACUGUCACCAAGCAAUAAUCCAGUAUGAUCUCCUCACGUGAGUCACAUGAACUGAGCAUACAACGAUGAGUUAAGUAAAAUCUGGGUGGCAACUUUCAGCAUUUACUUUAUGCACUUGAGAACUGAUGUGGGCAAGACUGUAGCACUUCUGUUUGUGAGUGUGAGUGUGUGUUUUAGUGUAUACAUAUGAACCUUAAACCUGAUUGCAGCUUGUAAGUGAAGCUGUUAAAGCUGUUGAUAUCUGAAGAAUAGCAGCGUUCUGUCAUUGUCUUCUUGGCCUCAACAUACAGUUCAAUUGAAUUCAAUUAAGUUUCAUUUAUACAGCACCAAAUCAAAAAAAGAUUUGCCUCAAGGUGCUUCAUACUGGUAGGUAAAGUCCCAGUACAAUAAUACAAAGAAAAUAGAGAAACCCCUCUAAGCAAGUGCUUUGUCGACAGUGGGAUGGAGAAACUUUUGAAUGAACAUUUUUCAGAAGCUUUUCCCUGAAAUCAGGUUGCCUCAUCACUUUCUUCCAUAAAAUCAGUUAUGGGAAUUGCAUGUGAAGAUAUGUAAGCACACAUGGUGGCAGACCAUCUGUGUUGGGGUACAUGAAAGUGUCUCCUUUACUUUCCCUCUCCUCUAUUUAGACAGUCAUCAAAUCCAGCUGUGCACCUAACUGCCCACAACAUAGCACUGUGGGUAAGGACCAGCACAGUCACAGCACUCGUCUCUGCACCAAGUAAUCAUAAACAUCUGCAGUGCUGAAACUACAGAAAAACAAUAUAUGUAAUAGACAAGCACUGGUUGUGAGAAAUAGUCCAGUGCUCCAGCUCAGAAAUGAACACUUCUCCAAAUCUAUCGAUGUGUUAAACAAUUUUUAGCAUUUAUAUCAUUAACACUUUUCUUCUGUACAUGGACAUUUCCACUUUUUAAACAUUUUUUUCCUGCUGUGAAAAAAUGUACUUGUGCUUCCUGAUUUCUUAGUUUUUGUGCAUAUUUGUCACACUUCCAUGUUACAGAUGAUUAAACAAAUUUUAAUAUCAG
ensembl:lncRNA